rnacentral:tRNA from 1 species
GCGCCGCUAGCUCAGUUGGUUAGAGCAACUGACUCUUAAUCAGUGGGUCCGGGGUUCGAGUCCCUGGCGGCGCACCG